rnacentral:lncRNA from 1 species
CCUAGCAACAGAACCAUGGGGCAGGCACUUAAGGAGUUUCAUGUCAAUGACAAAAGCCAUUUUUGCAAAAGGCUUCAUCUAUCCAUUUCCGCAGUUAUGGCAGGAACACCGCUUUUUGUUUCACUGAAGAUUUCACAGAAGUAACUUGGUUCUCUUUCAUCUCUCCUACCACAAGUUAUGACAAGGAGAAGUCAAUCCAAGCAUUCUUGGAAAUUAAGCCCUACCUGGCAGCUUGUGCAGACCAAGAACGCCUACAAUAUUCAGUGUUUUCUGUUAAUUUUUGUGCAAGAGUGGAGGUGGUGGUUAUUCAUGAAAUCAGAAAAAUGAAAAACAGACAAAAGGCCUUUCAUCCCAGCUCUGGAGACAGGUCAGCCAAGGUUACCUGGAACUACAAGAGACCAUGCCUAAAAAAACAGAAAGGUAUCUUCUUUUUUCAGAUGAAUUCUAUGUGCCCCUGGUAGUCCUAGAACUGAGAAAAACCAUCUUGCCUCUGCCUCAAGAGUACUGGAAAUGUCAAUAAGACAUGGGCCACCACAACAGGCUAUUUUGUAUGGUUUUAAAACAUGCUGUAACUGACUAGCAAAUAAAAUUUACCUGUAUUUUACCAAACUAAAAUUUUUUACUGUAUUUACCAAACUAAAGGUUUUUUUUCUGUUUUACAUGCUGUAACUAAAUCUAUUAACUUUCUUUUUUGUGUUUAGGUAUCUUUUCUUAACCCUUUGUUUCUAAGCUUUCAGAACUUAUAUUAAUGUAUCUUGAAAA